rnacentral:rRNA from 1 species
GACGAACGCUGGCGGCGUGCCUAAUACAUGCAAGUUGAGCGAUGAAGAUUGGUGCUUGCACCAAUUUGAAGAGCAGCGAACGGGUGAGUAACGCGUGGGGAAUCUGCCUUUGAGCGGGGGACAACAUUUGGAAACGAAUGCUAAUACCGCAUAACAACUUUAAACAUAAGUUUUAAGUUUGAAAGAUGCAAUUGCAUCACUCAAAGAUGAUCCCGCGUUGUAUUAGCUAGUUGGUGAGGUAAAGGCUCACCAAGGCGAUGAUACAUAGCCGACCUGAGAGGGUGAGCGGCCGCAGUGGGACUGAGACACGGCCCAAACUCCUACGGGAGGCAGCAGUAGGGAAUCUUCGGCAAUGGACGAAAGUCUGGCCGAGCAACGCCGCGGGAGUGAAGAAGGUUUUCGGAUCGUAAAACUCGGUUGGUAGAGAAGAACGUUGGUGAGAGUGGAAAGCUCAUCAAGUGACGGUAACUACCCAGAAAGGGACGGCUAACUACGUG